AACGAACGCUGGCGGCAUGCCUAACACAUGCAAGUCGAACGAGACCUUCGGGUCUAGUGGCGCACGGGUGCGUAACGCGUGGGAACCUGCCCUUAGGUUCGGAAUAACUCCCCGAAAGGGGUGCUAAUACCGGAUAAUGUCUUCGGACCAAAGAUUUAUCGCCUUUGGGUGGGCCCGCGUUGGAUUAGCUAGUUGGUAGGGUAAAAGCCUACCAAGGCGACGAUCCAUAGCUGGUCUGAGAGGAUGAUCAGCCACACUGGGACUGAGACACGGCCCAGACUCCUACGGGAGGCAGCAGUGGGGAAUAUUGGACAAGGGGCGAAAGCCUGAUCCAGCAAUGCCGCGUGAGUGAUGAAGGCCUUAGGGUUGUAAAGCUCUUUUACCCGGGAUGAUAAUGACAGUACCGGGAGAAUAAGCUCCGGCUAACUCCGUG
rnacentral:rRNA from 1 species